rnacentral:misc_RNA from 1 species
UCAAACUUGGUCAUUUAGAGGAAGUAAAAGUCGUAACAAGGUUUCCGUAGGUGAACCUGCGGAAGGAUCAUUAUAGAACAAUCAAACCCAUGUAGAGUGUGCUGUAGCUGGCCUUCGUGGCAUGUGCACGCCAUUCUGCAAUUGUUCUCCAUCCACCUGUGCACACUUUGUAGACUUUACAAAUGUCAGUCACCUGAAAAUGGUGGUUUGGAGAGGGGUAGUUUACCUGCCUCUCUUGAAUGUUUGUAGUCUAUGUUUUACACACACUAGCUGAAUGUCUUGGAAUGUCAUGUUAUAUUCAAACAAGUAUAACUUUCAGCAACGGAUCUCUUGGCUCUCGCAUCGAUGAAGAACGCAGC